ensembl:lncRNA
GAAUGAAUAAGAAUAUGUACAUAUCAAUAUAUGAAUGAGCGAUGGCCGAACGGCAUAGACAAGAUGCAGUAGAUGGUAUAGAGUACAGUAUAUAUAUAUGAUAUGAGUAAUGUAGGGUAUCUAAACAUUAUAUAAAGUGUCAUUGUUUAAAGUGACUAGUGAUAUAUUUAUUACAUACAUUUUUCCAUUAUUAAAGUGGCUAGAGAUUUGAGUCAGUAUGUUGGCAGCAGCCACUCAAUGUUAGUGGUGGGUGUUGUUGUCCUGUUGUCUUUGUCUACUCAGUUCCAGGUUGGAUGGUGUUUUCAAGUUCCAGGUUGGAUGGUGUUUUCAGGUUCCAGGUUGGAUGGUGUUUUCAGGUUCCAGGUUGGAUGGUGUUUUCAGUUCCAGGUUGGAUGAUGUUUUCAGGUUCCAGGUUGGAUGGUGUUUUCAGUUCCAGGUUGGAUGGUGUUUUCAGGUUCCAGGUUGGAUGGUGAUUUCAGGUUCCAGGUUGGAUGGUGUUUUCAGGUUCCAGGUUGGAUGGUGUUUUCAGGUUCCAGGUUGGAUGGUGAUUUCAGGUUGGAUGGUGUUUUCAGGUUCCAGGUUGGAUGGUGUUUUCAGUUCCAGGUUGGAUGGUGAUUUCAGGUUCCAGGUUGGAUGGUGUUUUCAGUUCCAGGUUGGAUGAGGUUUUCAGUGUUUUCAGGUUUCUG